CUACGGGGUGCUGCAGUCGAGUAUCUUCCGCAAUGGACGAAAGUCUGACGGAGCGACGCCGCGUGCGGGAUGAAGGCCUUCGGGUUGUAAACCGCUGUCAGUGGGGAGGAAAUGCAUCAGGGUUCUCCCUGGUGUUUGACCGAUCCGCAGAGGAAGCGCAGGCUAAGUUCGUGCCAGCAGCCGCGGUAACACGAACUGCGCGAACGUUAUUCGGAAUCACUGGGCUUAAAGAGUUCGUAGGCGGCCUUUCAAGUCGGGUGUGAAAUCCCUCGGCUCAACCGAGGAAUUGCGCCUGAUACUGUUGGGCUUGAGGGGGAUAGGGGUGAGCGGAACUGAUGGUGGAGCGGUGAAAUGCGUUGAUACCAUCAGGAACACCGGUGGCGAAGGCGGCUCACUGGAUCUCUUCUGACGCUGAGGAACGAAAGCUAGGGAGCGAACGGGAUUAGAUACCCUGGUAGUC
rnacentral:rRNA from 1 species